rfam:Salmo salar isolate Sally breed double haploid chromosome ssa13, whole genome shotgun sequence.
UUCAGAGGAUACUGUAAGUCGCUCUGGAUAAGAGCGUCUGCUAAAUGACUAAAA